UACGUAGGGUCCGAGCGUUGUCCGGAAUUAUUGGGCGUAAAGAGCUCGUAGGCGGUCUGUCGCGUUGGCUGUGAAAUCCCGAGGCUCAACCUCGGGUCUGCAGUCGAUACGGGCAAACUAGAGUAUUGCAGGGGAGACUGGAAUUCCUGGUGUAGAGGUGAAAUUCGUAGAUAUCGAGAGGAACACCGGUGGCGAAGGCGGCCUGCUGGGCAGUUGCUGACACUGAGGCGCGACAGCGUGGGGAGCAAACAGG
rnacentral:rRNA from 1 species